GCCUGGGCGGGGCGGCGGGGCGGGAGCCCGGGGCGCGCUGCUGCUUGGCCACUUUGGGCUCUAACCUCGCUCCUCCCCUGGGCUGUGGGGUUUUUUGAUUACAGGAAACUAGAGGACUGUAGGGAAGUGCCGCCUUGAGCGGGCUGAAGCGACUGCUGUCACUACUACAUUCUCUUCUAGGUGUGACAGCGCCUUGGAUCUAGAGACAAGCUUCUUGUUCGCCAGGAGCACCCCCUGCAAUGUGCAUUUUCGGGUCAUAUCCGCAUAUAAAUGCCUGUUUUUAACUACUUCAUGCACAGGUUCUUAGCAGAGAGUCAUGUUUUAGUUCUAGGAUUAUGCUUAUUUCUUUCUUUAGGGUUGCUUUUGUAAUGAAUCAGCACUUACAUACACCUCUACUAGGCAAUCAUGGAGUUGGCACCCCAAAGAAAGCUUCACCACAUGGACUGAAUUCUAUUAGCUGAGCAGAGACAGAGCAAUGUCAGCUCUCAGAGAGAGAGAGAGAGAGGCAGAGACACAGGCAGAGGGAGAAGCAGGCUCCAUGCACCGGGAGCCCGACGUGGGACUCGAUCCCAGGUCUCCAGGAUCGCGCCCUGGGCCAAAGGCAGGUGCCAAACCGCUGCACGACCCAGGGAACCCUUAUUUAGGAAUUUAAAAAGGUUAAAUAAGUUUUCACAUCAUUUCGUACAAUGAAUAAUUCAUUACCUGAUACAUAUUUUUAUCCUCCAAGGACUUAAAUACAGUAGACACCUCUUGUGUAUUAUGACAGGAGGGGGAAGAGCCCACAUGUACUGUUUGGUUCCCAUGACCUUUUCUGUAUCCUCCAGGGACACUUGCUGGUGUCCGCUCAUUUCCUCCCUUGACACGUAGAGGGAGGCCACACUGAGGCAAGAGAAACAUGGCAUGUCUUUCUACCCUUUGAGAGGUGCUAAGCUUUUUCUCUGGCAUUAAUCCAGUUUUGCUUCUACAUCAGGAAAGGAACCUCAAGAGGGAAAAUACACCAUCUUCUGGGUCCUGACCCCCAUGUAGUCCAGGCUGUUGAGUUCCUCUCAACUGAGCAUCUUCCAUUGAAUUGUUAUUUCAAAGACCUCUGUGUUUCAGAAGCCUUCUAGUUUAGGACACCUGUUUCUGGGGCGCUCCCUCUCUCUGCACAAAAAUACCAAGUCAGAAGGCCCAGAGCCCCGCAGCAGUGUCCUCUCCCAGUAGACCUGCUUAGCUGGGGAGAGUCACAGUCAAGUAGCAAAGCCAGCGCCAAAGGGCUCCCAUUCCACUCUCCUUCCUACCUCGGAGAGGGAAUUGAGACCUUUUCAUGGUAUCUGGAAACAAAGGAACUCUUUAUCAGCAGGUUGAACCUUCCCUUUGGGCACAACUGUUCUUUAAAUUAAGGUAAACAUUGUUUUUUUUUUUUUUUUUUUACCUAUUUAAAACAUUAAUGCCUUGGCUCUAAUUUUGUCACCUUGCUGUAUUUUAAUUUCUCCAGGACAAAAUAAUCGGUUUACUUUUUUAGAUUUUCAAUCUGAUUCUCCCCCUUAUGCAUUGCAUAUUAUAACAAAUAGUAAUAGAACUUAGCCAAAUAGGCUGUGACAAUUAAUUUUUUUUAUUGGAGUUCAAUUUGCCAACAUAUAGCAUAACACCCAGUGCUCAUCCCGCCAAGUGCCCCCCUCAGUGCCCAUCACCCAGUCACCCCAACCCCCCACCCAUCUCCCCUUCCACUACCCCUUGUUCAUUUCCCAGACCUAGGUGUCUCAUGUUUUGUGACAAUUAAAUUAAUAAUUCAUUUUGGUUGCAAGUGUUUAGGCCUUGUGCUUUGACUGAUAUAUGCAAAAAUGAUAAUUUAUUACAAAUAAAUUCAUAUACUUGCACUAUA